GCAAUCCGUUCGAUACCGAUCGAGUUAUAGGCAAAAUUUGGUGCAAAAAUGAAGAAAACUUUACAUUUUCUCAAACAGGGUAAGGAACUUGGUUCCUCGAAUAACUUCUGGCACAGACAUCUAAGGGCAUGGCUGUCCAAGAAGAAAAUGUAGCCAUUGGUGCCAUCUAUCGACCACAGGUUAAAGUUUGGCGAUCCGUUGGAUACCGACCGAGUUAUAGGCAAAAUUUGGAGCAAAAAUGAGGAAAAUUUUACAUUUUCUCAAACAGGGUAAGGAACUUGGUUCCUCGAAUAACUUCUGGCACAGACAUCUGAGGGCAUGGCCGUCCAAGAAGAAAAUGUAGCCAUUGGUGCCAUCUAUCGACCACAGGUUAAAGUUUGGCGAUCCGUUGGAUACCGACCGAGUUAUAGGCAAAACUUGGUGCAAAAAUGAAGAAAAUUUUACAUUUUCUCAAACAGGGUAAGGAACUUGGUUCCUCGAAUAACUUCUGGCACAGACAUCUGAGAGCAUGGCCGUCCAAGAAGAAAAUGUAGCCAUUGGUGCCAUCUAUCGACCACAGGUUAAAGAUUGGCGAUCCGUUGGAUACCGACCGAGUUAUAGGCAAAAUUUGGUGCAAAAAUGAGGAAAAUUUUCAUUUUUUUUAAUUUUUUGAUUUUUAUAAUAUUUUUCACUCUUUUUUUAUUUCAAGCAUUAUUAGAGUGAAAAGAAACUCAUUGCAACCCAUUGGCAUUAAAAUAAAACAAUUUAAUUUUUUUUGCAAAAUUUCCCAAAAAAAUCGUAAGGGGUAAGCCUUAUGAAAUUUUCGAGUGGAAAAUUUUUUUGAAAUUUUUUUCUGAUUUUUUAUUCUUUUUUUAAUUUAAAGCACUAUUUAAGUGAAAAGAAACUUAUUGCAACAAAUUCCCAUCAAAAUAUAUCACAUUUCAAAUUUUUGCUACAUUGCUCAAAAAUGCGGAAUUUUUUUCAAUUUCUCAAACAGGGUAAGGAACUUGGUUCCUCGAAUAACUUCUGGCACAGACAUCUGAGGGCAUGUCCGUCCAAGAAGAAAAUGUAGCCAUUGGUGCCAUCUAUCGACCACAGGUUAAAGAUUGGCGAUUUGUUGGAUACCGACCGAGUUAUAGGCAAAAUUUGGUGCAAAAAUGAGGAAAAUUUUCAUUUUUUUUAAUUUUUUGAUUUUUAUAAUAUUUUUCACUCUUUUUUUUAUUUCAAGCAUUAUUAGAGUGAAAAGAAACUCAUUGCAACCCAUUGGCAUUAAAAUAAAUCAAUUUAAUUUUUUUUGCAAAAUUUCCCAAAAAAAUCGUAAGGGGUAAGCCUUAUGAAAUUUUCGAGUGGAAAUUUUUUUUGAAAUUUUUUUCUGAUUUUUUAUUCUUUUUUUAAUGUAAAGCAUUAUUUAAGUGAAAAGAAACUUAUUGCAACAAAUUCCCAUCAACAUAUAUCACAUUUCAAAUUUUUGCUACAUUGCUCAAAAAUGAGGAAAAUUUUACAUUUUCUCAAACAGGGUAAGGAACUUGGUUCCUCGAAUAACUUCUGGCACAGACAUCUGAGGGCAUGGCUGUCCAAGAAGAAAAUGUAGCCAUUGGUGCCAUCUAUCGACCACAGGUUAAAGUUUGGCGAUCCGUUGGAUACCGACCGAGUUAUAGACAAAAGUUGGUGCAAAAAUGAAGAAAAUUUUACAUUUUCUCAAACAGGGUAAGGAACUUGGUUCCGCGAAUAACUUCUGGCACAGACAUCUGAGGGCAUGGCCGUCAAAGAAGAAAAUGUAGCCAUUGGUGCCAUCUAUCGACCACAAGAUAAAGAUUGGCAAUCCGUUGGAUACCGACCGAGUUAUAGGCAAAACUUGGUGCAAAAAUGAAGAAAAUUUUACAUUUUCUCAAACAGGGUAAGGAACUUGGUUCCUCGAAUAACUUCUGGCACAGAUAUCUGAGAGCAUGGCCGUCCAAGAAGAAAAUGUAGCCAUUGGUGCCAUCUAUCGACCACAGGUUAAAGAUUGGCGAUCCGUUCGAUACCGACCGAGUUAUAGGCAAAAUUGGGUGCAAAAAUGAGGAAAUUUUUUAAUUUUUUUUUUAAUUUUUUGAUUUUUAUAAUAUUUUUCACUCUUUUUUUUAUUUCAGGCAUUAUUAGAGUGAAAAGAAACUCAUUGCAACCCAUUGGCAUUAAAAUAAAUCAAUUUAAUUUUUUUUUGCAAAAUUUCCCAAAAAAAUCGUAAGGGGUAAGCCUUAUGAAAUUUUCGAGUGGAAAAUUUUUUUGAAAUUUUUUUCUGAUUUUUUAUUCUUUUUUUAAUUUAAAGCAUUAUUUAAGUGAAAAGAAACUUAUUGCAACAAAUUCCCAUCAAAAUAUAUCACAUUUCAAAUUUUUGCUACAUUGCUCAAAAAUGUGGAAUUUUUUUCAAUUUCUCAAACAGGGUAAGGAACUUGGUUCUUCGAAUAACUUCUGGCACAGACAUCCGAGAGCAUGGCCGUCAAAGAAGAAAAUGUAGCCAUUGGUGCCAUCUAUCGACCACAGGUUAAAGAUUGGCGAUCCGUUGGAUACCGACCGAGUUAUAGGCAAAAUUGGGUGCAAAAAUGAGGAAAAUUUUCAUUUUUUUUAAUUUUUUGAUUUUUUUAUUAUUUUUCACUCUUUUUUUUAUUUCAGGCAUUAUUAGAGUGAAAAGAAACUCAUUGCAACCCAUUGGCAUUAAAAUAAAACAAUUUAAUUUUUUUUGCAAAAUUUCCCAAAAAAAUCGUAAGGGGUAAGCCUUAUGAAAUUUUCGAGUGGAAAAUUUUUUUGAAAUUUUUUUCUGAUUUUUUAUUCUUUUUUUAAUUUAAAGCACUAUUUAAGUGAAAAGAAACUUAUUGCAACAAAUUCCCAUCAAAAUAUAUCACAUUUCAAAUUUUUGCUACAUUGCUCAAAAAUGCGGAAUUUUUUUCAAUUUUUCAA